rnacentral:rRNA from 1 species
CCUACGGGGGGCAGCAGUGAGGAAUAUUGGUCAAUGGACGAGAGUCUGAACCAGCCAAGUAGCGUGAAGGAUGACUGCCCUAUGGGUUGUAAACUUCUUUUAUAUGGGAAUAAAAUGUUCCACGUGUGGGAUUUUGUAUGUACCCUAUGAAUAAGGAUCGGCUAACUCCGUGCCAGCAGCCGCGGUAAUACGGAGGAUCCGAGCGUUAUCCGGAUUUAUUGGGUUAAAGGGAGCGUAGGUGGAUUGUUAAGUCAGUUGUGAAAGUUUGCGGCUCAACCGUAAAAUUGCAGUUGAAACUGGCAGUCUUGAGUACAGUAGAGGUGGGCGGAAUUCGUGGUGUAGCGGUGAAAUGCUUAGAUAUCACGAAGAACUCCGAUUGCGAAGGCAGUUCACUGGACUGCAACUGACACUGAGGCUCGAAAGUGUGGGUAUCAAACAGGAUUAGAUACCCUUGUAGUC